GACGAACGCUGGCGGCGUGCUUAACACAUGCAAGUCGAACGGAAAGGCCCUGCUUUUGUGGGAUGCUCGAGUGGCGAACGGGUGAGUAACACGUGAGUAACCUGCCCUUGACUUUGGGAUAACUUCAGGAAACUGGGGCUAAUACCGGAUAGGAGCUCCUGCUGCAUGGUGGGGGUUGGAAAGUUUCGGCGGUUGGGGAUGGACUCGCGGCUUAUCAGCUUGUUAGUGGGGUAGUGGCUUACCAAGGCUUUGACGGGUAGCCGGCCUGAGAGGGUGACCGGCCACAUUGGGACUGAGAUACGGCCCAGACUCCUACGGGAGGCAGCAGUGGGGAAUAUUGCACAAUGGGCGGAAGCCUGAUGCAGCAACGCCGCGUGCGGGAUGACGGCCUUCGGGUUGUAAACCGCUUUCGCCUGUGACGAAGCGUGAGUGACGGUAAUGGGUAAAGAAGCACCGGCUAACUACGUG
rnacentral:rRNA from 1 species